UAACUGUAAACGAUGCGGACUUGGUGUUGGGGUGGCUUUGAGCUGCUUCAGUGCCGAAGGGAAGCUGUUAAGUCCGCCGCCUGGGAAGUACGGCCGCAAGGCUGAAACUUAAAGGAAUUGGCGGGGGAGCACAACAACGGGUGGAGCCUGCGGUUUAAUUGGACUCAACGCCGGACAACUCACCGGGACGGACAGCAAUAUGUAGGCCAGGCUGAAGACCUUGCCUGAAUCGCUGAGAGGUGGUGCAUGGCGUAGACGUCU
rnacentral:rRNA from 1 species